rnacentral:piRNA from 1 species
UCCUUGAUGCCACCUGUGCUCUCUGC